rnacentral:lncRNA from 1 species
AUGCCAUUUCUUUUCCUUUUCUCAUCUCUUCUUCCUUUCUUCUUUUCUCUUUCUUCCUUUUCUCUUUACUUAUCUUUCUUGGAAGAAGGAAUUUAUAAGGACUUAACAAGAGAAGUUACCUCUCUCUCUCUCUCUCUCUCUCUCUCUCUCUCUCUCUCUCUCUCUCUCUCUCUCUUCCUCCCCUCUCCCCCCCCCUCUCUCUGUUUCUCUGUCUGUCUGUCUCUGUCUGUCUGUCUCUCUCCCCUUCUGUCUCACUCUCUUUCUUUCUCUCAAUACUUUCUUGUUUCUCUUUCUAUGGCCAUUGUGUUUUCUCCCUACUCCAACUCAGUGCUCUUAGCUUAUCCCUUUGGAAAAUAUAAUCCUUUAAGGAGAAGGUAAUUUAAGUUGUAUGAGGUGUCUGUUUUGUAAGACAAGCAGCUCUGCCCUGGCACAAAUUUUAUCCAAAGAGUCACCAUUAAGCACAAAAUUGGAGGGGAAACAGAGACAACAAUCUUGAACUGGGUGGGGAAAAUGAGUGGGGAGGGAUGAAAUUUUUUCCUUUGUUUCUCACUUGCCACAAACUAUUUUCUUAGAUAACAAAUGACAUUAAUUUGGCCUAACUUUUUUUCCUCCCAGAGUUCCUUCUGUGGCUAUUGGGAAGUAGUCAAAUGAAAUGUGAAAAGAGUACUUAACUUGGAAGUUUUGGAACUCUAGAUAUCAAAUCCUUACUUUGUUGACUACUUAGCUGUAUGUCCGGAGGCAAGUGAUUUCAUCUUGAUGGGCCUCAGUUUCCUGAUUGGUAAAACUUGAGGUUUGGGCCAGAUGACUCUUACUCUUUCCAGCUCUUGAUCUCUGAUCCUAUGGCCUGAGUUCAUUUCCUAGUUCUUAGCCACAGAUACUUUGAAACUGUGUGACCUUGGGACAUUUCCCACAUCUAUGACGAACUGAUAAUAAUGUUUGAUUACCUCAUUGGUUUAGUUGUAACAAAGCUUGAAUGAGUGUUGUAGCCCUUAUCAACUCUGCUAGGGGUCCU